UGUCAUGUUUAAAAAUUCUAAAGCUUACAAUUUUUAAACAUUUAUUGCUAAUGGAAAACUUUACCAAUCAAGAAUUGGCGGAUAUGCAUUUGGCAUACGGAGCAACAAACUGCAAUGCACGAGCAGCAUCGCGGUUGUAUCAUGAACGUUAUCUCGAACGACAGCAUCCUGGAUACAAAAAGUUUAUUGCGGUUCAUCGGCGGCUGGCUGAGACAGGCAUGUUUAAGACCAAGAUGCAUGAUACUGGUGUUGCUCGAACCGUAAGAACGGUCGAAUUUGAAGAAGAGGUGCUUCAGCGAGUUGCCGAUGAACCAUCAAAUAGCACACGUGACUUCGCUAAGAAUAUGAAUACGAGUAACGCUUCUGUCUGGCGGGUACUACACGAGCAACAACUCCAUCCUUACCACUUCCAGAAAGUUCAAGGUAUGACUGCAGCCGAUUAUCAUCCUAGAGUUCAAUUUUGUCGAUGGCUUCUGGAUCACAUCAUUGCACAACCAAAUUUUUUACGAUAUGUUUUGUGGACCGAUGAAGCCUCUUUCACAAGAGACGGUAUUUUUAAUAGUAGGAAUAGCCAUGUUUGGGACGAAAAAAUCCUUAUGCAAUUUUUCCAAGAAAACAUCAGAAUCGUUGGUCUGUCAACGUAUGAGGAGGCAUCGUUGAUGAUUAUUUAAUUGGGCCAUACCUUCUACCGGAACGGUUAACAGGACCUAUUUAUCUGCGUUUCUUGGAGGAAGUUCUCCCAGAACUCCUUGUUCUUGAAAAUGUUCCUCUAAACGUUAAGACAGCAAAUGUGGUUUCAGCAUGAUGGAGCGCCGGCUCACUUUCCUGUACAAGUACGCAAGUAUUUGGCUCAGCGGUUUGGGCACCGUUGGAUUGCCAGAGGUGGAGCACUUUCUUGGCCUCCUAGGUCACCCGAUUUAACGUCGCUCGAUUUUUUCUUGUAGGGACAUGUAAAGUCUUUAGUCUACGAAACACCAGUAGAAUCAGAGCUAGACUUAAUUGGACGAAUAACAGCAGUAUUUGAAAUCAUUCAAAACGAGGAUCAAAUUUUUAGUGUAGUCCGCCGAAAUCAUGUGCGGCGUUUAAAUCGGUGUAUUGAGGUUGGAGGAAGACAUUUUAAACAAUUGUUGUGAUCGUAUCAUAUACAAAAGGGCCGUAGUGGCGUAGUGACACAUUUCCAGACAUGGGUUCCUAUACUCAAAUGGAUUCUACUGUUGCACUAAACAACCCCUAGAAGUUUGAUCCCAUAGUUCUGAAACACCCUGUAUACACGUUAUACAAAUCGCUUCUCGCAUUUUAUUAUUGUCUACUGUAAUUUAUUAGAUUUUGUUACCUUUAGUUGGAAUGGAGGUAUGCAUUAUAACUAAACUUAUAUAACUGUA
rnacentral:lncRNA from 1 species